UCAAAGGAUAGUUUAAAAAAAAUAGUAAUUUUGGAGAUUAUUGAUAAAGUUUUUCUUUUUCUUUGAA
rnacentral:tRNA from 1 species